AGAGUUUGAUCCUGGCUCAGAUUGAACGCUGGCGGCGUGCCUAACACAUGCAAGUCGAGCGGUAACAGGUGUAGCAAUACAUGCUGACGAGCGGCGAACGGGUGAGUAAUGCUUUGGAAUCUUCCCAGUAGUGGGGAAUAACCAGUCGAAAGAUUGGCUAAUACCGCAUACGUCUGUAAAGGGAAAGCGGGGGCUCGUAAGACCUCGCGCUAUUGGAUGAGCCAAAGUCGGAUUAGCUAGUUGGUGGGGUAAUGGCCUACCAAGGCGACAAUCCGUAGCUGGUCUGAGAGGACGACCAGCCACACCGGAACUGAGACACGGUCCGGACUCCUACGGGAGGCAGCAGUGGGGAAUAUUGGACAAUGGGGGAAACCCUGAUCCAGCGACGCCGCGUGUGUGAAGAAGGCCUGCGGGUUGUAAAGCACUUUUAGUGGGGACAAAAAGCUACGGACUAACACUCUGUGGUCUUGAUUUAACCCAAAGAAAAAGCACCGGCUAACUCUGUGCCAGCAGCCGCGGUAAUACAGAGGGUGCGAGCGUUAAUCGGAAUUACUGGGCGUAAAGCGCGCGUAGACGGUUUUGUAAGUCAGAUGUGAAAUCCCUGGGCUCAACCUGGGAACUGCAUUUCGAAACUGCAUGGCUAGAGUAUCGAAGAGGGAAGUGGAAUUUCCGGUGUAGCGGUGAAAUGCGUAGAUAUCGGAAGGAACACCAGUGGCGAAAGCGACUUCCUGGUCGAAUACUGACGUUCAUGUGCGAAAGCGUGGGGAGCAAACAGGAUUAGAUACCCUAGUAGUCC
rnacentral:rRNA from 1 species